UUGAAUCUGCGUAAGGGAUGGUAACGGAUAUCCUUUUUGUCUAUGGAAUAAUGCUAAUUUGGAUGUGAUAUGUUCUGGACAAAAAGAUAGUAGUGGACAGCCCGACCCGCU
rnacentral:sRNA from 1 species